GACAGAGGUCCCGAGCGUUAGGCGGAAUCACUGGGCUUAAAGCGUGUGUAGGCGGAUCGUUAAGUGUCUUGUGAAAUCCCACGGCUCACCCGUGGAACUGCUGGGCAUACUGGCGAUCUUGGGCCAACUAGGGGCAACUGGAACAAGCGGUGGAGCGGUGAAAUGCGUAGAUAUCGCUUGGAACGCCAACGGUGAAAACAGGUUGCUGGGGUUGUGCCGACGCUGAGACACGAAAGCCAGGGGAGCAAACGGG
rnacentral:rRNA from 1 species